rnacentral:tRNA from 1 species
GGUGGCUUAAUGGUAGAGUGCUUGCCUUGCAUGCAAGAGGCCCUGGGUUCAAUUCCUCAGCACCA